CGCCGAUGGUACCUGGCCUUCGGGCCCGGGAGAGUAGGUCGCCGCCGGAU
rnacentral:rRNA from 1 species